AUCGUACUAGAUUGGAGGUCCAAUUUAAAACACGACUGAUUCUGAAUUGAUACUCUAGACGUACUUGUCUGCAAAACAGCUUUCUUUGGCAAGAGGAAGAACUAGUACUGAGAACUUCAUCAAUGAAAGUGAGACUGAUGUCACUUUGCCAGCUAAAUAUACAGUGUGACUGUGAUCAGUCUUCUGCUGGGCAGUUCAGAGGAAUAAUAAUUGAUGUAAUCAUGCCAUACAGGUGAAUUUUGGUAUUUUAAUGUGUGGAAAUUCUAACCUGGUUACCUGUGCUGGAUUCUUUCCAGGCUAUUCUGCCUCUUAAUGGAAAGAGUUUGAGGUCAGUGAAAAUGGAAACGGAUACUUCUAUAGGCAGAAGGAACCAAAACUUAGCUAACCUCCUUUCCUAACUUGCGUAUAUGUUUUUUUGCUUCAAGAACUGGUCAUCCUGUGAAGCAGAGAAUAGUCAUUAUAUGGUUUGAUCUCCAUAUGAAUUUUUAAAAACUAAUUCAUUGGUGUUUUAGUUAAGGCUAUUUAAAUAAACGCUUCCUUGCCUUUACUUGGGUACCGUUAGUGUUAUUACCCAACUGCCUCAUUCAAAAGAGCUUUUAUGGUAAAUGUUAAAAAUUUUGAACUGGUUAAGAACACACACUGUAAGGAAAUAGAGAAUAUCCUGUUUAGGUUAUACAUGUCAUAUCUAGUUCUUUUUUUCUUUGUGGGUAUGAUCACAAGUUCACGUGCAGUGGUUGGAAUCUAAACAUUGACCAAGCUCAAAUUGUUUGUAAGAAUAGUUGGUUAACCUGAUGUAAAACCCCAAAAGCUUUUUUUAAAACUACUGUAAAAGAAGUCUCCAGCUGGUGCUUCAGAAGUCAGCUAGCGCAAUAUUAAUGGUAAUUGUAAAUUAAAUAUAUUUGUGUUACAAAGUCAGAUACAUUUUUCAUUCCUAUUCAGGUACUGUUCAGAUUAUCUCAGUUUGAUACAUCUCAACCAGACCAAACAAUGCAGAGAGAGAAUGUGAAUAAGGCAUUAGUGUUAUUUUUUUUGUUUGUUUUUGUGUUGUUUUUUGUUUUUACCUGUGUCAUGUAAUCCUAUUCAGAGCAGAUCUCGAUUACCCCGGCAACAGUGCUUGCUAACCAGUAUAGUAGCCUCGCUGCUGUAUUCACAAUUGCUUCAUCUGAUGGAAAUACACCGAUGGUAGUGUGUAGGGAGGAGCUGAAACAAAAUCUCACCUGGGUAAGGAUCUAAUCUCCGUAAUAGUUGUUUAUACAUACUUUUUCAUGAUGUUAUUUCUCUAAUUUUCCAGGGUUUAAUCUGCAAAUAUCUUUUGGAAACCUUUACGUUAUAGCAGAAAAAUAGUAAAUGACCUGGAAUGGGAGAAUUGUAAGUCCCGUAUGCAGGUAAUACUCUACAGAUUGAACCAGUUUAGUCCUUGUGCACACACUAUCUGAAUUUGCAUUCAUCCUCCUCCUCUUUGCAUGGGAGCAAUUGUGGAACAGUUGUAUCUGAUGCGGUUCUUGUUGACUGUUUUUAUCCCAAAAUAACACAGUAUUCUGAAUUAAUUUAUGCUGCUGUGGAGUUAAUUGGGAGACAGUUAUGCUUUAAAUUUACCAUUUUCCACAAAUAAGUUCUGUGUCCUGAUACAGAAAAACUGUAGGAAGUGUGUUCUUACCAGAUUUUAGGUAAAACAAGAUGCAAAAGGAGAUAGUAGGUGGAGGAUAAACUAAACCCUGUGAUUUAAACUAAAGGCUAAGACUCGCGUUGGCAGCUUAAUGUACCGUAAGACUGAGAUGCAUCGUUCUUAGUCUCUCCAUGGUGAGGCCAUGAAUAGCUGAGCUGGCUAGCUUUUGGAAAGUCAGCCUGUCUUGACAAGGUUUUGGGGACGAGUUCUCUUCUAGGGCGUGGAUUUAAAAGCAGUGUAUACUGUUUUAAAGGUGAUCAGUUGUAUUUGCGUGAAUGGUUCACUGGAGUUCAGGAGAAGCUGAGGCUAGCUGGUGUCGGUCUCCGUGGCAUUCUGCUUCAUCAGAUAAUGUGAACUGAAACUUGUACGGCAGACAUGCAGGUAUUGUGAGCUUAAGUUUCUGCAACUUCCCGUGAUCUAUUUUAAAGAAAGAUCAUCUUUUAAAUCAUAGUUUAAUUGGUGCUAGGUAGUUCGGUUAAGCUUAAAUCCUUUUUCUACUGCACAUUCCCAGGCCGCUUUGUAUGUUGUUAAAGUAAUACUCUAAAAUAUUAGUCGUCGUAAUUGCUUGAGCUGAAGCAUUGCAUGCUGUGUACAUUUAAUAUAAGCUCUUAAAAAAACAGAUUUCAUCACUGGCUCUGUAGGUUAAUAAGAACAAGGUCAUAGGUUGUUCUGCAUUGUAAGUUGAUCUGCUUUUAUGGCAGUUAACUUGAUUUCAUUUUCUCCUGCUUUUUUGUUCUUAACAAAUUUUGAAAUGAUUACUUUAUAAUGACUUUACCGUUCUACUAUUUUUUUGAUAUUUGUGUAGGUGUAUCGUGUCUGUCUGUACAUACGUGUGGUAUAUGUAGUGUUUGUGUAUGUUGGCAGUUAAUGCUUUUAAAGCCUGCUGGCAUGCGGAGACUUCCUAGUGGGCCUUACCAAACUGAAGCCAUAGUGAGAAAUUCUCUCAAAGUUGAUUGAUUCAUGUUUGAAUGUUCACAAACAAAGCAAAUGCCAUUCUGUAAGGUAAGCAUACCGAUGGCAGAGGAGCAGCAGAGAAAUCUAGAGGCUCUCUGAAGGCCACACAGCAAGUCAGUGGUAGAGCCAGACUUGAACUCGGAAGUUCCUGGCUUGUGGCCUGGGGCUCAAGCCAGUUGUGCACAGCUGUAUUGAAUUGUGAAUAGAAAUAAUGCUCUUUUUCCUAAUGCUUUAGGGGAACACAGCUGAUUUAACUAAAAUCAUAAUGUGGGUAAAAAGAUAGAAUAGUAUACUUCACCCUUCUUAAAAUUUCAAAUGCUAAAAGUUCUGUUUCAUGUUGUAGGUUACCACGGGUACCAAGGAGUAUGGUUAAUGUAACUGGGUCAUAAAUGAUAACAAAUCAUAGUGCAGGCUCUUGAGGCCAGACUAAGGACUUCUGCUGAGGGUACAGGAAUUCAGGGCUUAAAAGCUGCUCUGCAUACUACCUUGAGAAAUUUUAACAUUAAAAACAAAAGAAAACCUGAAAAGUAGAUGAUUUGCUUUGAUGUUUUAAAGUAGAAGUGAAAAUGUAGUUCAGAGACAGUCUUUCUGAGGUAUUCAUUAAAUUCACAUUCUAUAUUUAACACUCAAAGUUUUUAAUGAGGUUUUAAAUAUUGUUAUCCUUCAAUGAAGUAUGAAAGGCUUUCAUGUGAAACUUAAAGAAAAAGAGAGAACCUCUGUAGGUUCACUGACUGAUCCUUCCUUCCUAGAGUAAAAACUUAGCUUUGAGUGGCUUUUAUUGAACAUAGAGACAGUUUGAGGUGUUUCCUUGAGGUGGGGGAUUUUGAUCUAAAACAUUCUUAUAAAAUGAACGCCACCACUACAGUUUGUUUUUCUGUACCAUUAAAAAUCUUGGCAAGGAUUAGCAAAUCCAUUUUGACAGUUAAAGGGACUUUUAUUUUCCAUGCAGUGUUUUGUUAGUUCUAAGCUGCAGAGGCAAAAUAGAACUUUUUUUUUCCUCAGGUGCAUUCUAUGGGUACACUCCAUUUCUUGCAAACUGUGGCCCUACGCAAACGCAUAAUAAGGAUGUUUUCCUAAAUUACUAACAUGGCGCUUAGCUGAGGAAACAAAACCAAAGCAACCAUCCAAGCAAACAAAAAAUCAAAAAACAACCUGUUGGCACCCCCUCUUCAGUGUUUUACCUGGAUAUAAGGUGGUUUUUGUGUGUGCAAAAUAACAAAAAUGUUAAAUAGUUCUAAAAAGAAAUCCAGGUACUGCAAGCUUAAAAGUAUUUGAUGCUCGUGAGGGCUGAAGCUCGAGCCCUCUAUGUUUUUUUCCCCUUCCCCCUAGCAGCACAGUGUGACUGUAUCUGACCAUUCAGACAGAACUGUUACUGGCUGCUGGUGCACAUAUAGGCUACAUCUAAAACUUUUCAUGGGUGAUUUCAAAAAUUACUGUAAGUAAUUAGUAUUAGCGGUCUACCUCGUCUUUCUAACUUGCUCUCCUCUUUCAUGCACCUUGCUAACCGAGCCAGAUAGAAAUGCUUGCUGCGCUGGUUUGCUUUUCAGUUUCAGCUGUUUGAGCAUUUACAAGUCCCUAUUCCCUUGGGCUGUGGCUUCAGAAGACAUUUAAACUGGAUGUCUGUCAGGUUCGUUGCCCAAGCCUGGGCAGUGUUUGAAAUCGACAUUGUUGUGGCAGUUCUUUCUUUAUUCACCCUAUUACAACUGGUAAUAUGGUGUAAUUAAACUAUAGUUCUUCCCAGUAGGUCUCCCAGAAGUACCGUAACUGUAUACUGCUGAGUAUUACCCGAAACUGUGUUACGGACUAGAUCCUUGUGACGGCGACAGACGCAGCUGAGCCUGCUUCAUUCUGAGCUGUCUGGACCCUGAUUUAAACUGGUAGACAUAAUUUCAGUGGCAGAUUCAAAUUCUCCUUCCUUUUUUUAAAAAAAGAACACAUUAGCAAGAGCAAGCUUAUCAGAGGCGUUUUUAACUAAGCAUGUUGUUUCCGGUGGUGCCCAGUGAAUUUUCUUAUACUCUCAAUAAAGAGCAUUUGAACAAGUUAGUGCUUAUUCAUACACUUUCCCACUUCACUCAGCCACAUACAAAUUGCACACUGACAGCAGUAAGUCCAACUGGCACUUCCAGAAUAGCAGAUACGGUCUUGAUUAAAGCAGAAGAUCCUUCACCUGGAAUUGGAAAUUUCAAAUGUUUAUGCAAGGAAAUUGCCUGUCACUUUUACUAUAAGGUCAGCCUAUCCCUUUUGCUAAGUAGCGUAGUCUGUUUUCUCAAUGCAGUGGCUUUGUACAAAGUUAGAAGCUUUGCACUGGCAGUGUGCGUGGAAGCAUCCAUAAGCUGACAAAUUAGAUUUGAGGUUCUAGUGUUUAAAGGGCUUUUCCCUUCAGCAGGAAAUAGUCUCCCACACCAGCUUAUGCAUUUUAACCUUCAACUUUAUAUAGCAGCGAAGAGUUGACCUGUCUUUAUGCAGAGCCGCCUUUCUUAAAGAGGAUAGAGAGAUGGUUUAACUUAAUAGGUUAGAAGUGCAGUUUUUGUGGAACUGUGAAUAUCUUAUGUUCCUGUCAUGUAUCUUACAAUGUUUUGCCCUAGUUUCUAAAAAAGCCUUAAACUCUUCUGUUCCACAUUUUAACAAAAUUAAUCAGUGGUAAAAGACAUAGCUAUUAAUUAAAGAUGGGAGGAGUCUUCAGAUUUGCUGUCAGCAGAGGUAGAAAUUAUUUUGUAGCUGCAAACAUGCAGAAGUGUUCUGUGAACAUGUACGCUGAAUGCCUUAAAUGGUUUUGAUCUAGCUGUCUUCCCUUGUUAGCACUGAUGUUCAAAAGAGUGCAUGGUUUUUAACUGCUCCGAAGUAAAAACAUUGUUAUUGAACAUUAGAAAGGCCUUUUUUAAACUAGAAAUAAGAUUCUUAUCUUACAUAAUGCAGCAAGGUAAAAAUUAACCCAAAGGAAGUAAAUGCUACUUGGGUUGAGAAUUUAAGAAGGCAAAUCAGCUUAAUCUUAGACCGCUAGAAAUGUCUUAAAUAGUAAAUAUUAUUUAUAUCACUAUAUUUUUCUGCCUCAGUGAUUGUGAGUUUACAUUUUUAUUGCACGUAUAUCAUAAAUGGUGGUGUUCUGUACGUUCUGUCUUGUAGGUGGCAGUUCAGUGGCUUCCUCCUCACCUUAGAUUAUUUUUUGGAUUACCUCGUCUUUUACAAUUUGCUUCCCUUUUCUGUAUCAGAAAAAAGAGUGGUGCGUGCCUGGGAGACAAACCGUAGCCAGGUUGUAUAGGGAUUGCAAGUUCCUGUCAUGGAAUUCUUGUGUGUUGAAACAACUUUCUGAUCUGAGCUUUCAUGUUGUCAAUGAUUGUAAGCUCUCUGGAAUGCAAGUAUUGCAGAUCCGACUUAGCUUACAAGAUACGAUUCUUCUUUGAUAGUAAUGUAUAGUUAAUUUAAAAAUAUUUCCUCUUGAAGAGGGAAAUUUGAAGAGCCAUUGGAUUUUCAAGUGAAAAGUGCAUCUAGUCCUCAGGUUGGGUUUUUACUAAUUCUGAAAAUUUCUAAGUUAUUUUAAACCACUGCAUUAGAAAGCAACAGAUUUAAAUGGGGUUGAAUUUAGAAAUGGAUCUGGUAACAUAUCUGUGAAUGACUUAAGCAGCAACAUCAUUUAAGCAGUAAAUUAUCAUUCAUGGAAAGAGAUCCAGGGAAUGAUAGUCCGCAGUCAAGAUUUCAAAAAGCUUGUCCUCCGCACUCAGUACAAAUAGUAGCAAUUCUCAGGUGAGUGACUGCUAAGAUUGGACAGACAUUGACUUCGCAGAAAUAACAGCGUGGCUAAAAGAAAUUCUUUCCUUGGUGGGAGACUGCCCUUAGUUUAAAGAAAUGCCUGAGGAUAUGGCGAAUGCUUUUCACUUAAACUUUGUACAGUCUUUGCUUAAGAAAUAAGGAAAUGAUUGUUUACUCAGCAAUUAAUAAGAGUUUCAUGUCUAGACUAGGUGGUUUAAUCUGUGCUUUAUUUCCAGAAGGCAUGAAAUCAGGGUAACUUUUUAAAACUGCAGCUCAGGAAUGGUGUACAGUAUCAAGACUAUAAAAACAGAUGAUCAAAAACAGAGUAUUGAACAUAAGAGAACAUGUAUGUUCUCUGCCUAUUCGUGUAUUAUUUUAUAGAGUUUCUUUCAUUUCUACCUCAUAACUGUUGUGGCUAGUUAAUUUUCAAUGCCUGUGUUAAACGGGUGUGAUUGUAUGGCCUGCAGAAAGCUGUUUUCCACGUUUUGCCGCUCCUUUUGUAUGAGGAAGAAACACAUUUUUGCAAGUUAUCACUUAAGGGGUCUCAGUUUUCUGGUCAUUUGUACAGGUUACAGGUAAGAAGUACUACCGAGUAUUUCUGACAGUCUUGUUGCAUGGAUUCCAGUAACUUGAUUUUAUUUUUUUAUUUUUAAGCAAAAACCAAUUGAGUAGACAGCAGUAUUUCUAGUGUUAACCAUGGUGCUGUCCCUUUAAAAAAAAAAAAAAAAAGACCAAGGAUAAGUUGAAAUGUAUUUAUACAGUUGCAGUUUUCUGUGACCUUAAAAAGCUCUUGACUUCUAAUAUCCUUUCUGAUAAUGCUCCCUAUGGGGAAUGCCCAGCUGUCUGUAUCCUUCCGAACGUAGCUUGCAAUAAAGAAGUUCAAAAUCUUUAAAUCUUACUUUUUAAAAACUAAAGAUUGUUUUUCAGUACUAUGGCAGUAAUGCAACCAUUCCCUAAAAACAUACGGAGAAAUUAGGAAUUAAAAGGUUGAGAUAUUGCAAACUUGGCAACAGGGAGGUGCUUUUGCACUUCUGUUCAAGCAUUAUGUGAUAAUACAUUGUACUUCUAGACAAGUGAGUUGUUUUCAUUGCUAUAUGUAGAUUGAUUUUUUUUUUUAAUUAGCCCUAUGAAGUGAUUUUUUAAGUCACUUUGUGAGGAGUAAAAUAUGUGUUUUCCUAGAAGAUUCUGAAAACAAUUUUCCGUGAUAAUCAGUGGCAUCAUAAUAUGUAGACCUGCGACCUCGUGCUUAGAAGCUUAGUGUUGGCCUUUAGAACUAAUUGUUCAUUAAGAAUUUGGUCUUUGUGAGGAAGGAAGGCUACUAUUACGUGGCUAAUGUCAGAUGGACUCUUCAUCUUUAUCAAGCAUUCUACAAUUAUUUGUUCUUUAAAAAAAAAAAGCAAUUUUAGGUCUUAAAUUUAGGAAAGCGUAUGGCAGCGCAACUUUUACUUGCUAUUGUGUGACGCUUGUCCUCGUUUUCCCAGUGUUUGUAGACACUGCAUGCCUUGGUGAGGGUAUUUGGUUCUCUUUUGUUGUUUUGAAAUGUUAGACGAUCAUUUUCUUGCAAUGCCAGAUUAAAACAAUCACAUCUUUCUUACAUCCUCAAAACUAGUAUGAUUAUAUGAGAAGACAAGUUCGAAGAAGCUUUGAAUUUUUUGGCUGCUUAAGUAAUUUCACGUGGAAGGAUUAUUAGUUUCCUGUAGUUGAAAACAAGUCAUGUCUUGCAUUUGUGCCACGCUGGUGUUUUUGUGUUCUUCCUGUUUCCUACACACAGUUUCUUUAGAAUUGUCUAGUUUUCGUUCUGUGAGCCAAUGAAUAAUUUCAGUUUACAUCUUAAUGAGUCGUAUGAGUCAUGAUGUGAAAUAAUGAGUUGUGAUAUUUUGAAUAAUAAUUUAUCAAUGCCACUUUUGAAUGGAAAGUGACUAAUGAAAAGAGUGGCCAGCUGGUUGCAGUAAGAAGGGUGAGAAGCACGCAUCUGGCAAACAAAUGCUUCUGUACCAGGCUUUGUAAAAAUCCACAUGCUUCAUGCAUUCCAGGGUUCCCUACAAGUUGAACAGUGUUUUUCUGUGCCCCAUUUAAAUCUUGCUGCUUUAAAAGUAGAUAGCAAGUCUAGCAUAUCUCCUGAUUACAAGCACUGCGCUAAAGCCCACUUUUUCUUAUUGAUUGAAAGCACGUCAGUUCUCAUAGUUUAAAAAAAAAAAAAGACAAAAACCAUGCUCUUCGUUUAUUAACUUGUAUUUUAUGACCAUAGUUCUGUUUUUAUUCAAUGCAUCUCAUGUUUUGGCCUUCAGAAUGUCCAUAGCAAUGCACCAAGGAGAGCACUUACUGCACUUACGAUUUACCUCAUUUCUUGAGCAGCCUCUCAUCCUUAGUGAGGCUUUAAUGAGACCUGAUUCUUGCUUGUCUUAGCUGCAGGUGCAAGCUGCAGAAAAGAGGACACGGUGCAUUAACAAAAUUGCUCACUUCCGUGCCACCUAUACCUCUUGCAGAUUUCAUGCCGUGGUGCAUUUGGACACAUCUCAGCAGAGUUUGAUCUUGAGCUUAGCCGUACUUCUAAGCAAGAGUUGAUCAGGAUCUUCAAGAUAUUUUUCAUUAAGUUUGUGUUACCAGUUUAACUUGGGAAAACUCAGCAACCUUUGAGCUGUUGUUUUGUUUGUUGUUUGUUAGAAAGUGGCAGUGGGCUGAAACAUGAAUUACACAGUUUUUUCAUUUAAUUUCUUUAAAAACACUAGCAACUGACCUACUUU